CUCCGACAUGACGCAUGUCGUGUCGGGAAAGAUUCAUCGGUAUGGGAUGGGGUCGCGUCCUAUCAGCUUGAUGGCGGGGUAACGGCCCACCAUGGCUUCGACGGGUAGCCGGCCUGAGAGGGCGACCGGCCACAUUGGGACUGAGAUACGGCCCAGACUCCUACGGGAGGCAGCAGUGGGGAAUAUUGCACAAUGGGCGCAAGCCUGAUGCAGCGACGCCGCGUGCGGGGUGACGGCCUUCGGGUUGUAAACCGCUUUUGACUGGGAGCAAGCCCUUCGGGGUGAGUGUACCUUUCGAAUAAGCACCGGCUAACUACGUGCCAGCAGCCGCGGUAAUACGUAGGGUGCAAGCGUUAUCCGGAAUUAUUGGGCGUAAAGGGCUCGUAGGCGGUCCGUCGCGUCCGGUGUGAAAGUCCAUCGCUUAACGGUGGAUCCGCGCCGGGUACGGGCGGG
rnacentral:rRNA from 1 species